CUCUACUCUCUCACUCGCCUUCUGCUGUCACUCAGUCUCCAGUCUACGCGGUAUCUGAAAGAAAAAGAAGAAAAAAAGUAUGGCUGCUGCAAAUGCUGGACAGAUUAACCAUGCGCAGCCUGGCCCCAUUGACACGUCAGUGUUGACGUUGCAGCCCAACCAUCGAUCAGAAGCUAUUUGGAAUGGGCAGGAUCCAGGGUCCCUUAAAUGUCGUACCCGUAGUGAAGAGUUCUCCAAUCGAGAGCCAAUGGUGGACGAUC